UGCAAGUCGAACGGGUCCUUCGGGACUAGUGGCGGACGGGUGAGUAACGCGUGGGAACAUACCCAAAGGUACGGAAUAGCCUCGGGAAACUGAGAGUAAUACCGUAUGUGCCCUUCGGGGGAAAGAUUUAUCGCCUUUGGAUUGGCCCGCGUUGGAUUAGGUAGUUGGUGGGGUAAUGGCCUACCAAGCCGACGAUCCAUAGCUGGUUUGAGAGGAUGAUCAGCCACACUGGGACUGAGACACGGCCCAGACUCCUACGGGAGGCAGCAGUGGGGAAUCUUAGACAAUGGGGGAGACCCUGAUCUAGCCAUGCCGCGUGAUCGAUGAAGGCCUUAGGGUUGUAAAGAUCUUUCAGUUGGGAAGAUAAUGACGGUACCAACAGAAGAAGCCCCGGCUAACUCCGUGCCAGCAGCCGCGGUAAUACGGAGGGGGCUAGCGUUAUUCGGAAUUACUGGGCGUAAAGCGCACGUAGGCGGAUUAGAAAGUCAGAGGUGAAAUCCCAGGGCUCAACCUUGGAACUGCCUUUGAAACUCCUAGUCUUGAGGUCGAGAGAGGUGAGUGGAAUUCCGAGUGUAGAGGUGAAAUUCGUAGAUAUUCGGA
rnacentral:rRNA from 1 species